rnacentral:lncRNA from 1 species
UGAAAGCAUAUGCUUUUUCAUGUGAAUUAUUCCUCAGAAUAUGCUUUUUAUUGAAGUGUGGAUGAUGUUAGCAAAGACUUGCAGGUUUGGAGCAAAAUAGAUAAUCCUACAUUAUCAACUUAUUCUCUUGAUUUUACAUGCAAGAUUGGAUAUGUUCUUUUUCUUUUCAUGAAAAUGCAUUGUUGAAUGUGUUUGUUUAUGGUCAUCUAAGCCAUUUUUCAUCUCGCCAAUUCUUUGUUCAAGCAGUUUUUGGAUAAUCGAACCGAUAGAAUACACCCGCGGAAAUGAUGUUUAGAUGACCAUCAACAAACAACUUCAUCUUAUUGCAUCAAGUGUUUAUUUAAGGUUUUGUUACGUUUUAAAACCACCUUUUCUUUUUCAAUCAACAUUCUUCCCAUCUCUACAAAAGUUCGAGUGCCAAAUCUUACCAUAACGGUGAAAUCAAGAAUUUUAUGUUGGGGGUCGGAAUAUAAAGGAGACGAAUGGGAUGGACUUAGAAGUGACUGGAGAUUCAAAUCGAAACUGUAAUGGGAUGAGCUAUUUUGGUCAACUGUUUUACGCGCGAUAAACACGACACGAAAGAAAACAUGUCAUGAUUGCCGAAGAACUUGGUUUCAGAGAAGCAAUUCAGAACUGAAAAAAGGGUAAGAUUCUUUUGUUCUUCAUGGAGUGAAACUCCCAGCUACUUGUCUCUUUUAUAUUAUCUUAGCCUUUCCAAUGUUUUCUUUUUUUGGAACUUCCAAUGCUUUGUUUGUUCAAACUGAAGAUGGAUUAAGUGUCAUCAGUUGAAGUAUAUCCAUCUAUCUAUCUAUAUAUAAUCAACUUUAAUGGUAAUAAUUUGGAAGCAAGAAUAGCAAUGAUCCAACGGAUACAUAUGAUUUAUGUUUCCGCCAUGGUGGGAAAGUUAUUGUCUUGUGAAAGCCAAUAAUUUUGUUUAGGAGCACCCCAAAAAGUUACAAAAUUUUAGGGGUCAAAGCUAAAAUAUUACCUUCAAAAAUUUAAAAUUUACUAUUUUAGGUGUCAAAGAUAAAAAAUAGUUAAAUAGAGUUAUUAAUAUUUUAGAAAGGUUAAAAAUAUAAAUUUUCCGUUUAAUUAACAGCUAUAAUUUUUUAAAAAGACAAAGCAAUUUUUAUUAAUUUUUAAAAUUUAAAUUGCAGAGAAGUUGAUUUCUAAAAUUAGCAAUUUAAUUAAAAGAUUUUAACUGUAUUACUUAUUUGGUUAGUAUAAUAAAUUUAUAAUUAACCCGUACAAACGAGAAUAAUAUGUAUAGAACUAUUGGUGAGAUAAAAGGAAAAAAUUAAACAUGGUUUUUGGAACUAACUAGAUCGAUAACCAUCAGGAUAUUAGAUCAAAAUAAGAGGUUAAAUUAAUUGGUUCGUAAAUUAAUUUGGACCGGACUAAAAAAUAGGUUUGAAUGUAUAAUUAAACCAAUUGAACUGAUUUUUUAAUAUUUUUUUCUCAUUUUUAUGAAUUUUUAAUUAAAUCAGAUGAAUCAAUUAGACUAAGGAACAAAUGAUCUAAUUGAUUCAACCACUAAUCUAAUUUUCUAGAAUAUAUAUAUUUAAAAAUUUUAGAUUUUUUUUUACAAUUUUCUAAUAUUUAAAUACCUAUUUUAAUUCAUACAAAAUUUUUAAUUUUUAUAUAUUAUUUUGAAAUCUAUAUUUAUAUUCUAGAUUUUUAUAAAACAAUAUAGGUAAACUAUAAAAAUAGUCACUUUUAUUUGCCUCAGAUUACAUUUUAGUCAUUUAUGUUUGAAAUGUUACGUUUUAGUCACUUACGUUAUCGUUUUGUUACGAAGUAAUCACUCUACAGUUAAACUCCGUUACCUCCCUAAUAGCAGUCCUAUGUGGUAGUCCAAAUCGGUUUUAAAUGCUAACUUGGAUGUCCAGUUGCUAGGAUGGAAAUAAGUUUUUAAUUAAAUAAAUUUAAUUUGGACUGCCACGUAAGACAUCCAAGUUUACAUUUAAAACCCAUUUGGACUGCCAUGUAGGAUCGCCAUUAGGGAGGUAAAGGAGCUUAAUGGUAGAGUGGUCACUUCGUAACAAAACGAUAAUGUAAGUGACUAAAACGUAACAUUUCAAACAUAAGUGACUAAAAUGUUAUCCGAGACAAACAAAAUUGACUAUUUUUAUAGUUUUAAACUUUUUUAAUUUUUGAAAUAUUUAUAUAUGAUAUAUGAAUAUUUAUAUAUUUUUAAUCAAUAUAAUAUAUAAUAUUAAAAAAAUAAAAAGAAGCUGACAUGGGGCAUUCUCAUAAUGCCAUGGGGUAAUUUUGAUUUUUCUACCGCUGUGGACCAAUUUGGAUAGGGUGGAUAGUGUAAGUGCUAAAUUGAGAUAAAAAAAAGUUUUAGAUGUCAAAAUAAAAAUACAGAGAGCCAAAUUCAACAUUAAGCUUUAAAUCUAUUAUGACUUUACAUAUGAUAAUAUACCAAAUCCAAAUCAUAUACAAAUAUGCACACAAUAAUUGAAUAUUGAAUAUUUCUUUUUAUUAUACAUUGGAAUAAAUCUUAAAACUAUACAUGAAUUUUGAUUUAAUGUGCAAUUGUAAACAUGAACUUUAAUUUGGUAUAAUUAUACACGUAAAACUCUAAUUGGGGUCCAAGUUUAUACUUGAAACUUUAAUUUUAAUUUAAUCAUAUACACAUUUAAAGAAAUAGUACAUUAAUUUAUUUUUAUAUUGGAUAAAUAUAAUUAUUUAUAUAUGCAAUAUAUAAACAUGAAAUGAUGUUAUAUCAAUAAUUGUUUUAAUAAUUUAAUCAAAAUUCAUAUACAAUUACACAUUAAACCAUAACACAUCCCAUCCAUUACUUUAUUUUUAGUGCAAAGUUGCUUCAAUUCUAGUCUCUCAACAAAAACAAUGCCUUUAAUUUGGGAAAGAAAAAUAUUUGGUAUUAUAUUAGUAGAGCUUUUAGACUUCACAAGUAGAAAGUGUUAUAUAGAGAUAUUAAUAAAUAUUAAAAAAAGAAAAAUUUAAAAAAAAUAAGUGACUAUUUCUUAAAACUGUUUAUAGAAUAAAAAAGAGAGAGUAAAUUGUUAGUAUACCAGAUACUAAAGUAUAAAUGCAUAACCAAAAUUAAAAUUAAACCUUUUAAGAGCCAAAUAUGAAAGACUAAUAAAAUAGCCUGUUUGGAGAUCGACCCGUAUAAACAAUCAAAAUAGAAGAAGUAGAAAAGAUCGAACACAAAUAUUACGUGGAAAAUUCCUCCGAAGAGGAUAAAAACCACGGACAAAAAAGGCUUUACUAAUUCGACAAACCAAUGAAGAGUACAAGAUGAAAAAAAAUCAAAACCUACACAAUAAAACCCAAAUAAUCACUAAAAGAAGAGUACAAGAUGCAAAUACAAGAUAGUUGAAGUCAUGAAGCAAUAAUUUUGCAGCAGAAAAAGUAAAUAUUUAAUCAAGAAUCUUGAGUUGCAGCUAAUUUUAAAAAUUAAAACCUCUAGAAUUGAAAAGCAAAGAACAUCACAACCUUCGUCUUCUUCUUCAAUUGUAUCUACCAAAACAAUAGACCAAGACAAGUAUUAGUGUGUUAUAUAAACACUUAGAGAAAAAGAUCUGCAAAUCUAUGAUGAAAGAUUCACUUACACGGUUGUGGUUUUAAACAGACCUCCAUUCCUCAAUGAUAUCCUUCCGAAACCUCACCAAGGGUCGAACAACUUUCUUAAUAUUGAAAUUAG